GUCUAUUUCUACAAGACUAUAUCGUGCAACAUCCUAGAAGAGAGUCGUCUUCGACAACCAUUCGACAGCAGAUUCAAUACAAUCCUACAGGUUAUGUUAUGUUAUCCAGCUGAUGGAAGCAGUAAGAUUAUCUGCUGUCUGCAAGAUGUAGCACCUUCUCUUUGAGGUUAGGACCACUUACUUCAGAGUUACACAUAUGGGCCUGAUUAAAUCAUGUAAUAAGUUUUAAUAUUGGAGACAUUUUUAUCACUAAUUGAAUGCCUUUCUUUUUACUGAAUCGUUAAUUGUAUAGACUUUAACCCACUUACAGUCAUUAAAGGGGAUACAUAAACACA